rnacentral:rRNA from 1 species
UACUCAUAGUGGCGCACGGGUGCGUAACACGUAACUAACCUACCUAUACCUGGGGGAUAGCCCGCCGAAAGGCGGAUUAAUACCGCAUAAGGCUUUUACCUGGCAUCGGGUGAUAGUUAAAGAUUUAUUGGGUAUAGAUGGGGUUGCGGGUCAUUAGCUAGUUGGUAAGGUAACGGCUUACCAAGGCGACGAUGACUAGGGGAGCUGAGAGGCUGGUCCCCCACACGGGCACUGAGAUACGGGCCCG